rnacentral:rRNA from 1 species
GAGUUUGAUCCUGGCUCAGGACGAACGCUGGCGGCGUGUUUAACACAUGCAAGUGGAGCGACGAACCGGGGCUUGCCCCGGGGCAAAGCCGCGAACGGGUGAGUAACACGUGGGUAACCUACCCCGAUGACCGGGACAACCCGAGGAAACUCGAGCUAAUACCGGAUGUGCUCCUUGACCAUGAGGUCAAGGCGUAAAGAUAGCUUCGGCCUUCGCAUCGGGACGGGCCCGCGGCCCAUUAGCUUGUUGGUGGGGUAACGGCCUACCAAGGCGACGAUGGGUAGCUGGUCUGAGAGGACGAUCAGCCACACUGGGACUGAGACACGGCCCAGACUCCUACGGGAGGCAGCAGUGGGGAAUCUUGCGCAAUGCGCGAAAGCGUGACGCAGCAACGCCGCGUGGGGGAAGAAGGCCUUCGGGUUGUAAACCCCUUUCAGUUGGGACGAAGCUUCGUCGGUGAAUAGCCGGCUGGAGUGACGGUACCUUCACAAGAAGCCCCGGCUAACUACGUGCCAGCAGCCGCGGUAAUACGUAGGGGGCUAGCGUUGUCCGGAAUCAUUGGGCGUAAAGCGCGUGUAGGCGGUUCGGUAAGUCCGCUGUGAAAGUCGGGGGCUCAACCCUCGAAAGCCGGUGGAUACUGUCGGGCUAGAGUACGGAAGAGGCGAGUGGAAUUCCUGGUGUAGCGGUGAAAUGCGCAGAUAUCAGGAGGAACACCAAUUGCGAAGGCAGCUCGCUGGGACGUAACUGACGCUGAGACGCGAAAGCGUGGGGAUCAAACUCAGUUAGAUACCAGCGUAGUGCAUUCGCAAUUGGAUGGGCUCUAGAUGUGGGGGCUGUUGACCGCCUCCGCAGGAAAUCCACUGCAUUAAUCCGUACUCUAGGGGAGCAGUAUCCCAAGGCUAAAGAUCAAAGGAAUUGACGGGGUCCCACACAAGCAGCGGAGCAUGUGGCUUAAUUCGACGCAACCAGAAGAACCUUACACUGGGCUUGACAUGUAGUUGUCCGGCGUGGAAACACGUGUUGUUUUCGGGGCACUUUCACAAAGGGUGCAUCACUCCAGUCAGCUAUUCUCGUGAGAAGUUUGGUUAAAUCUGAAAGGGAGCGCAACCCGAAGGCCAUGUUGCCACCAGUUAGUUGGGGACUCAUGCGAGUCUGCCGGUGACAAAGAUGAGGAAGGUGGGGAUGACGUCAAGUCAUCAUGCCGUGUUUCAGUCAGCAGUACACACGUGGUCCUUUCAGACCACAGAGGCAUGCGAUCCCGCGAGGUGGAGCGAAUCCCCAACAACGUAAUUCGGUUCGGAUUGGAGGCGGAAAGUAGCCUGCAGGAAGGUGGAGUUCUUAGUAUUAGGGUCUCAGCGCUCAUCCGGUGAAUACGUUAGUUUCCUCGGGUCACACCGGUCAGUCACACCACGGAAGCAAGCAACACUCGAACCCGGUGGCCUAACCCUUGGGGCAAGGAGCCGUUGAAGGUGGGGCUCGCAUGGGGGAGAAGUCGUAACAAGGUAGCCGUUCCGGAAGGAGCGACCUCAUCCUCUCGAGGAUAAUCCUCGACCGCAGGUAAAUG